AUUCAUUUUUCACUCAGGAAGAAUGGCGCUUUCCAUGUCAAAGACUCUGCUGCUGACCCAUCUUUGCAGGGCUGGCUGACAAAUUACCAAAAGCCAGAUGAAACUAUGAUAGGAAUCUCUUUGUGACAAAGCCCCGGGAAAACCACGCUGAAAUUCAAGCACACAGAAGAGCGUGUCGAGGAUGCGGGGUAGUUGCCCUGGGGAAGCCUGCUUUCUUCUUUGAGAUUCAACUAUUCUGUUUUAAUAUAUGAACAAAAUCUUGCAUCAGCUCUGCUCUCAUCGAUGUGAGAUGUCAUCUCUGGUGUGUGCUUAGUACAAGUGUCUCUGCAGCCACGCUAGUGAGUGUCCUGAAUGUUCCCAUGAAUGUGGAGGCAGCUGCAUCCUAUUUUCUUGGCCUAUGUGAAGAGCUGCCUCCCCACAAGAGAGCCGUGUCAGGCUAGAGAAGAUGGAGGAGAGGGCUGGUGGGUGUGUGCUUCCAUGUUGACAAGAGGAGAGGACAAGUGGGAUGAAGGAUCAGUAAGAUUUUCCAUUAAAUCAAGAAAAACACAACUUGCCCCUAACAUCACCUCUGAUGGCUUCCUAGACCAGCUGCUUCCCCGACACCCUACUGAGGAACAAAUUGCUUUCCUGGCAGGACAUUUGGACACUCCUGCAUUAAUAGAUAUGGAUCCCAGCAUGCCAAGCCAAGCGAGAAGGCAAUUUAAUAUGAACAACACUGUCAUCUCAAUUUAGGACAACAGCUAGGAUGCCCUGCAGGGCAUUGCAACAGCUUCUGGAAGUGCACACCAUAAGACAUUCGCACUGUCUUAAGGCGAUAGAAAGCUGGUGUUUCUAGAAGACAGUCAGGCCAAGGGUAAUGGAAAAGGCACUGCAAAGACGGUGGCAGCCUUGUCCUAUCCGCCAGCAUCCAUUUCAGUUGACGUGGAGAACGGAGACUGAGUGGAGACUGUCUCCUUUCUCCCCAAGCCCAUCACAGGCCAUUGCCUCAGGAGCCUACUGGUCCCUGAUAGACAAAGGCUAACUCUACGUGAGACAGUGUAGACUUAGGUCUGAGGGUGUUUCACAAUAGAGCAGGGAACUUUAGGUUUUUGGCCUCAAACUUAAUUGUCUAUCUUUGCUGCUAAGCAAAACAAAACAAAAAAAAUGGCUGCCUUUUUAAUUUGCAUCUUAACAAUAGGCUGAAUAAAAAAUGCUUUUGAAAAACUCUAAAUGCUUUAUAUGCUGGAAUGCACUUUAACAGUAGUCUCUAUUUUAUUUUCUCCACAAUAAGGAUGUGGGUGAACCCAACACAUGUUUACGUUAAAAUAUUACCUUUGACAAGGAUUCCCAUGAUAAGUCAGCUGCAUGCAGAACGUUAAAAAAAUGUAGAUAAAUGCAUUUUUGUAUAAUAUGGGUUUUUUUGCAGGUUCUACUGAUCCAUCUGUGUAAGUCAAUAAAGGGUUCUUAACCACA